GAGAGCAUCUGGGCAUUGCACCGACCGCCAAAAAACGCAGUUUAGACAGCCGGCACCAAGCCACCCGGAAGGAAGCGGCAAAGCACCAAUCACAAGCGAGGUCACGAAUGCCAAAGGCCGUCAUUUCCUCCAUCGGCUGGCCAUGGGGGAGCACGUAUCUGACGGUCGCUGGCUGCAAUCACCACACCCAACCGUGCUCGCUCGGUCUUGUCGCAUCUGCAUCGAGGGAGAGUACGACUAUGCACAUGUAUCUCAAGACCCUCACCAAGAUGGCUCUGUGGCCGCCGACACAAUCUCUGACACAACUUACCACAGCCCCUGAUAUUUUCUUCUUUAUGGAGCAUUGUGAAAGUAGAGACUUGGAGCAAGUCUAACCAAUCACCCGCCUUUCCGAAACCGGAAGCAGCAAGCACCAAUCACAGGCGAGUUCACGAACGGCCUUGUUUACUUCCAUCAGCUGGCCAUGGCGGCACACACGUUUCUUGUGCACGGCAUCACCAACUUGCUGGUUCUGUCUGGUCAAAUCUUCGUCGCUGGUCAGGGACAGCUACCUGCUGACCCGAUGUCACACAACCACGGCCCUCUCCCCCCUGGCUCCCACUCCCAAGGAAACAGUUCUUUGUCUCAUCUUUUUUUAUCUUUAAAAUCUCUUCUUUUUUUCUAAACACGUAACCUUACAGUUAAUAACGUUGUCGGCACUUGUCUUUCGUGUUACUAGUAGAUUGAAUCCAUGGUGACAGUACUUUUUCUAGUGUCCUAAACUAGGAGAAAAUCACAUAUUAACAUAUUAUUUAUAAAUUUCCAUUAAGUUCAAUUUGUAGUUUAUUUCUAUGAUAUCUGGACAUUAAUUUUUGCAUUGAAUUAUGGUUUAUCUUUCUUCCUUUGGCUGUCAAUUAGUUGUGUUCAUUGUGUUGGACAUUGUUGCAGACCCAGACUAACAUGGUGGUACGGCCACCAACAUGACCUUUCCACACAUCGUCUGGACCCAGCCUCCGGACACAGCAUCUGGACAAACCCACCUGACACAUCCUCCAGACACAGCCUCCUGACACAGCCUCCUCACAGCCCCUUGAUAUUUACUUCUAGAUGGAAGAUGGUGUAAGCGAACGUUAAACCAACGUUGCCCCAGUAUUGGGCCAAUACCGCAUCUACGAUCUACGAGAGACAUCAACUGCAAUAAAUCAACGUCUGGCCAAUGGUCACCGCCAUACAAAUGGAAAUGGAAGAUUGCGGCGGUGUAGUAGAUGUUAAAGCGCUCGCUCUUGAAGCAGACAACCCACGGUACGAUGGGGAAUCAGACAACUUAGUACUUGGGAUGCAAGCGUGACAUUUCGAAGGUGAACACCCGUCAUGAGAAUGGGGUUUGUCUUUGGCUGGUGAGUUUUAUGGCAUGUUAUGCAAUGUCCUUCCUGCUCAUCGAAGUUUCAACUACCCAUGACCAGUUCCAUUGGUCGGAGAGCCGCUAUAAUACAUGAGGUCAGUGGUGCGGCUGCAGAGGCGUUAUAACACUCUCAUGUGUAAUAACCUUGGCUGCAGAGGCGUUAUAACACUCUCAUAUGUAAUAACCUUGGCUGCAGAGGCGUUAUAACACUCUCAUAUGUAAUAACCUUGGCUGCAGAGGCGUUAUAACACUCUCAUAUGUAAUAACCUUGGCUGCAGAGGCGUUAUAACACUCUCAUAUGUAAUAACCUUGGCUGCAGAGCCGUUAUAACACUCUCAUGUGUAAUAACCUUGGCUGCAGAGCCGUUAUAACACUCUCAUGUGUAAUAACCUUGGCUGCAGAGCCGUUAUAACACUCUCAUAUGUAAUAACCUUGGCUGCAGAGCCGUUAUAACACUCUCAUAUGUAAUAACCUUGGCUGCAGAGCCGUUAUAAUAGUCUCAUAUGUAAUAACGUUGGCUACAGAGCCGUUAUAACACUCAUAUGUAAAUAUUAUGUUGGCUACAGAGCCAAUAUAACACUCUCAUAUGUAAUUAUAUUGGGUAUGACGGUGUAUUCCUGGGUAUUUCUUGGUAUUGCGUUUUAUUCCUGAGUAUAGCGGCGUAUUCCUUGGUUUGAUUGGGUAUUCCUUGGUAUUGCGGGGUAUUCCGAGGCUGUGAGAGCAGCACAUGCUUGCCCUUAGAGCCGACUAUUAUGAUAAUCAGAUGGUCACGGUUUGUGAGUAGGUCUAAGGCACUGCAAUGUGAGGAGUUGAAUCUGUCAGGAAUGCCGGACACCUAGGACCGGGGGUGAAUCCCAGUUCGUCCUGAUAGUUUUGAGGUUUGUCAGCGCCAUACCGAUGAGUUUCACUUCUUAUCAAUUCCCAGAUUUUGUAAUAAGUAACUUGUGUGAAACUGGGACGCUGUCUGUGUAAUAGUAAAUGCAAGAUAUAUAUGAUUAAUCAAAUCUUCCUCAGCUGAUACAGGUUGUCGUGUUUUAGGGAUAUGAAUCUAAUUGGUUGAUGCAUGUCAUCGUAUCACAACUGCAUAGAUCAAAACUCAUGGGGUAAUUAUAAUCACUGGACUGUCUGGUCCAAAUUGAUUGUAUACAGACUGCCACUAUAUGGUUGUAAUAUUGUUGUGUGGCGUCAAUCAACAAACAUGAUGUAAGUAUUUAUGAGUAACCUUGAUCUCCAGUGUCAUCUUAUUAGGUCAGAAAUAUUCCCCUGGAGGUAAACUGGAAGUACAUCAGACGAGAAAUGGUCCAUAUGAUAUUUUGAACAGUGAAACAAAGGGCCAACAGUACAUGCAAAAUAAGUGAGCGAGUAGGUUUUUACGCCGCUUUGGGCAAUAUUCCAGCAAUAUCACGACCGGGGACACCAAUUAAGGCUUCACAUCGUACCCAUGUGGGGAAUGGAACCCGGGUCUUCGGCGUGACGAGCAAACGAUUUAACCACUCGGCGACCCCACCGCCCAGAAGCCUCCGUGCAGAAACGUGUGUCAGCUUCAUGUAUUCAGUGGUUUAUUGAACAUGUUCCUAGAUUUACUAAGGUGAUCAAAGUAACUGAUGGCUCUAGUGGUUGGACAAACCUUUUAUUAAUGUGUCAAUCUAUUGUGAGAUGUAAACAUUAUGACAGGGUCACUUCAAAUAAAGCUCUGUCCUUGGGCCACAGCACGUGACAAGAUAGGCCAAUCAGGGCCGAGUAUGGUGAACGGGUCGUCCGUGCAGCAUGUGCAGAUCAGCCUCGUCUUCCGUCCUGUGUGGUCGAUCUGAAAAAGUAUUUUGCGUGCCGGCGGGCAGCUUUCCUUGUUGACACUUACAUUUGGUGACAGGUGGAGAACGUUUGAAGGUACAACAAAUGAAAAUCUAACGUGUGGGUGACCAUGGUAAUUACAUACCUGGGGUAACUGAAGUCAUUGGGGUCGGUGCCAUACACACGGGCCUUUCAUCAGUCUUCCGAGCCAUCUGCUAUGAUGAAACUAUCAUCUUAAGAACUUCAACCUGCAUUUGGAUUCCAUCAACAAACUACUCUGAUUACUCUGAAUACUGUACACGGAUUUAGGGACCAGUGAAGAUCCGGGGUAGAAUAGGUCUUCAGCAACCCAUGUUGCUGUAAAUGGCGACGGGUGGUCAGGCUCGCGGACUUGGUUGAUGAAUGACAUCGUAUCCCAUUGCGAUUGGAUCAAUGCUUAAGAUGUCAAUCACUGGAUUGUCUGGUCCAGACACGAUUUUUUACAGACCUCCCUCAUAUAGCUGGAAUAUUGCGGUUUUAAACAACAAACCAACACGGAUUUAGGCAGGAUGCAUGUCUUACACCUAAUCCCAAUUUGAGCAAAGGUAACGUGGAGUAUGACGUCUCUGAAACUUUCAUUUCUUUAAGGAUAGUAGAAAUCAAUUUUGGUUUCUCAAAUGAGAGGUGAUGGCGAAGGACUCCCGGAAAUAAUGGGUACUGAAGCUGUCCAGAAUUAACCUGUUCCUGGUGUUAUGAGUGACGUUGUAUAUUUGUGUGGUUCACAAGGGGUCCAGUUUGGGUGGUCGGCGUCAUGCUUGAUUGACUGGGUAACUGAUUGGUGUGUGCUGAAGUAGAUAGCUUACUUGGAAAUUUGUUUACUAUAUGAGGGCAAGUUAUCGAACAGAAAUGGGGGAGGGAGAAAUAUGGCUUAACUGAACGAGGGCAGUUCAGUCCGGAGACAAAGUUAGGUCAUGAAGGAGGAAACUGGAACAAUGUGAAAUGGAAUUCAUUGGGAAUAUGAUGUGACUAUUACCUACAUUGCUUUGCUCAGAUGUGUCCCCAAUGAUUCGGAGUUGGUUUUGUCACUGGUCACACGUAUGGAAUUAUUCUAUUCUCACCGAGGCCCAAGUUUUAGCACAUCCAACGAGCUCAGAAAAAUGGAUUUUGUGGGUGUACGUUUGCAUAAUGAUUGCAAAUAGACAGCUUUGGUUACUUUAAAUAUAGAAAUAUCUUGUGUAGUUGAGCAGAAUAAAUGUUGUGUGCCAGC